AGUGAACGCUGGCGGUAGGCCUAACACAUGCAAGUCGAACGGCAGCACAGGAGAGCUUGCUCUCUGGGUGGCGAGUGGCGGACGGGUGAGGAAUACAUCGGAAUCUACUCUGUCGUGGGGGAUAACGUAGGGAAACUUACGCUAAUACCGCAUACGACCUACGGGUGAAAGCAGGGGACCUUCGGGCCUUGCGCGAUUGAAUGAGCCGAUGUCGGAUUAGCUAGUUGGCGGGGUAAAGGCCCACCAAGGCGACGAUCCGUAGCUGGUCUGAGAGGAUGAGCAGCCACACUGGAACUGAGACACGGUCCAGACUCCUACGGGAGGCAGCAGUGGGGAAUAUUGGACAAUGGGCGCAAGCCUGAUCCAGCCAUACCGCGUGGGUGAAGAAGGCCUUCGGGUUGUAAAGCCCUUUUGUUGGGAAAGAAAUCCAGCUGGCUAAUACCCGGUUGGGAUGACGGUACCCAAAGAAUAAGCACCGGCUAACUUCGUGCCAGCCGCCGCCGUAA
rnacentral:rRNA from 1 species